UAGGUGGUCGAGUGGUAAGGACACUUGUCACUCACCCUGGAAUCCCGGGUUCAAUCCCCGGUUGAUAAG